GUCCAUGCCGUAAACGUUGGGCACUAGGUGUGGGUCUCAACCAACGAGAUCCGCGCCGUCGCUAACGCAUUAAGUGCCCCGCCUGGGGAGUACGGUCGCAAGACUAAAACUCAAAGGAAUUGACGGGGGCCCGCACAAGCAGCGGAGCGUGUUGCUUAAUUCGAUGCAACGCGAAGAACCUUACCUGGGUUUGACAUGUAGGGAAAAGCUCUAGAGAUAGGGUGUCCUUCGGGGCCUUACACAGGUGGUGCAUGGCU
rnacentral:rRNA from 1 species